GCCGUGGCUUCUGUUCGCCGCUGGUAUGUCCCUUAACUUGAUGUCAAGAAUGUCUUUAUCCUCCUAGUGCCCUUUCCCUAACACCUCCCAUGCACUCUCUGCUCCUUGCCAGUCCAGUUAGGCAUCCUUUGCCUGGCUGUGGGUUGCUUUCUGCCCUUCCUUGAUACCACAUCUCUGUUCCAUUGAUGGACGCCACAAUAGCCAAAUGCUCAGGCGCCACCGUGAAUUUGGAAGGAAAAAAAGUUUGUGCCCUUCCUAUGGCUUUCAAACAUGAGUUCGGUAAGUUCGUAAAUUUGGAAGAAAAAAAAUGUCAUGAAUUUGGAAAAAGUUAACAAAUUUGAAAAAGGUCCCGAAUGUGGAAAAAAAUCGGCUUGGUCUUCUUGGAUCUAUCUUUGGCAAUGUGUAUUUAGACUGUCAAGUUUGUUGACUUGGUAAUAAGUUCGGUUACCACAUCCUCAUAGCGAGAAUAUCUUCGCGUCCUUCCAAACUUAACUGGCUUCACCUUCACUCUGUUGCCAUCAACGCCAAUCUCUCCGCAUCUAAUACCUCGUAUAGCGCUUCUAGGUGUCAUCAUCAUUUUCUUUCACUUAUGUGGCUCUCGUCACCCAUCCUUGGUUUGAUGUGGUCUUGUUGGAUCUAUCUCUAGCGAUGUGGGCUUUAGACUGGCGGCGUGUCUUUAGAUUGGCAAGUUUGUCGACUUGGUAAAUAGGUUCGAUUAGAUUAUCCUAAUAGCGAGACCGUGUCUCGACGUCCUUUCAAUCUCUACUUGGAUAUUUGGGGCCCAACUCCCUUCGCCUCAAAAGUCGGCCAUCUCUACUAUACUACCUUUAUAGACAAUUUCUCUCGACGCGCAUGGAUAUAUUUCACACCUUGUUGUGAGGUCUUAUCUAUCUGUAAGAAGUUUGUCGCCAGGGUUCAUACCCAAUUUUCUUCACUCCUACUAUUUGUGUCUUCCAUGCAAUUCUUCUCAUGACUAUAUCUCUCAUUUGUUGCACAGAUUCCUUGCUAAGCAGGGCACGCUAGCUCAGUUGUCUUGUCCUGGUGCUCAUUCUCAGAAUGGUGUUGCUGAGCGCAAGCAUCGUCACCUUAAGAAGCUGGUGCGUUAAUGGCUGUUGCCUCUCUUCCGCCACACUUUUGGGUUGAGGUUAUUUCUACUUCAACCUAUCUCACCAACAUUCAUCCUUCCUCUGCGGUGAGAUUCCUCUCGGGCGUCUUUUUGGUUGUUCACGUGACUACUCGACGCUUCGUUUAUUCUAUUGUGUUUGUAGCGUUCUUCUUACCUUUGUGAAUGCCCCAAACAGACUGCUCAGCCUGCUGAAUGCGUCUUCUUAGAGUCUAAUGAUGAGCACAAGGGCUAUUGGUGUUGGGAUCCUAUGUUAGUCGGAUGCGCAUUUCUCGGUAUGUGACUUUUGAUGAGUCUUAGUCCUUUUCCUAUCCAAGUCCAUCGUCUCCUUUGCCCCCCUCCCCCUCAACGAGAUUUCUUUCCUCAAUUUCCUCGAAACAUCUAUCAUUCAAGUAUUACCCGCAUCCACCCAUCCCAACAUGUCUUCCCCUACUACUAUUGUAGACCCAAUGCCAUCAUCACAUGCCGCUUCACCAUUCAACUCGUGGUCGAACACUAGUUCUAUAUGUCAAUCAUCACUGGCGAUGAAUCUUAAGUACAUUGCCUUUGUGAGUGCUCGUCAUAGUUUCUUAUGUCUGAUCUUGGUCCUCGUCACUACGUCCUUGAGAUUGAGGUUUCUUCUACCUCUGACUUUUUAUUUCCUAAAAGAAGUAUAUCCAGGAUCUUCUUACUCGUGCUGCUCUUACUGAUGAGUGCACUAUUUAACAUCCACCUUUAUGUCCACCUCCGCUCCCUGUAAAAGUCUGGAUGGGCAUCCUUUGCCUGGUGGCCGGUUGCUAUGUGUGAUGUCUCGAUCCCACAUCAUGUGUCCCCUUGCUGGGCGACACCAUGAUAGAUGCUCGAGCACCACCAACGGUGAGCAGGAGCUCGGACAAUUAGCGCAUACCUGGAUUUUACCCACGGGACAUGCCCGAGAACACGACGCUACCUAUCGUCAAGGCCAAUGGCGCACAGUUGGAGAACGUGGGAUGCUUAAUCAAGUGUGUGACACAAAACCCGCAAACAGGACAAGAACACCAAGCCGGAUCAACGGGGAAAGAAGAGUGCACACGCACGUCGGAUGCUAGACCAAAUCCAUCUGCUGCUACUACCGCCAAUCUCUUCGCCUUUGUUGCCUUGUUUACCAGUUAUUUUCAGCAAUGGCAUCACCGCCCUGAGGUCAUUGGUAGCACAUUAUCUUUAUAGAUGAUUUCUCCCCACACACAUGGAUAUACUUUGUUCUUCUCAUAGUGAGGUCUUAUCUAUAUAUAUAAGCAUUUUGCUGGCAUGGUUCACAUUCAGUUCUCAACACCUACUAUGUUAUGUGAUGACUCUACUAGAGAGUAUAUUUCCAAGCUCUUGCGUGGAGUCCUUCAGAUCUCUUUUCCUGGUGCUCAUGCUCAAAAAUGGCAUCCCAAGCAUCAUUACCUUCUUGAGACGGCUCGUGCGUUGAUGGUCGCCGCCUAUCUUCCACCGCCCUUUCGGGCCAAGCCUAUCACCACUUCCAUCUAGCUCAUCAACCUUCAGCCAUCCAGAGCUCCAUAGGGUAGCAUUCCUUUCAAGUGUGAUCAUUUCUUGAUUAUCGGCGCUUCAAUUAUUUGGUUGUGUUUGCUAAAAAGACUGCUCGGCCUAUUGAGUGUGUCGUCAUAGGAAACAGCGAUGAGCAUAAGGGAUCUCUCUGUUGUGAUAAUGUUCGUCGUCUGAUGCCUAUUUCUCGAGAUGUGACUUGAUGGGUCUCCUCCGUUCUACUCGCGUCCAUCUUCCUUAACCUUUUAAAUGGAGGAUAUCUCUUUCCUGACUUUUCCCAACACUCCUAUCACUCCUGUUGAGCCCUUAUCCAUUCAUCAUACUGCUCAUGCUUCUUUAGUUAUUGCAAAUCCAACAACAUCUCCUAUGAUUUCCACACCUAACUUACCACAUAAUUCAACACCUUCAUCAACGGUGACUUAGUUGUCACAAUCACCCGAGAUUGCCCAGAUGAUUCCUUCUCGUAUUCUUUCAACUUUUCCUUACUUUUAUACAUGUCAUUCACGUGUUAUAGAUGUGCCUACUUUUUUGAGCAAAACACAGUGGGGAAGGUCCCCACUGUAACUCUAUUUUUCAUUCAUAUGAUGGGACAAUUACAAGAGGUUGUACAAGAGUGUCAUGCAUAUAUAUAUAUAUAUAUAUAUAUAUAUAUAUAUAUAUAUAUAUAUGACAGUUUACAAGUAGUCUAUCCUGGAUUGCAUCCCCUCUUUCAAGCUAGGUCUAGCUUUUUUUGAUGAUCAUGUAGCAGUGCUCCUUGAAACUAGCAAUACAGUGUGUAAUGCUUUUGUCCUGAUGGUCAAAUAUGAUGUUAUUUCUAUGUUUCCAAAUGCUCCAGCAUCCUGCAUUUAAACAUUCUUUGGAACAACAUGUUAUUAUUAUUUUUACCAUCCAUAAGCAUAUCAGCAAGAUCAAGAUCUGUGUUCCAUUGGAAUCCAAUUGCUAGCCAAAAGUUUCGGCUAAAGUCACAACUAAAAAAUAAGUGGAGAAGUUGUUCAUUGGGUUCAUCAUCGCAGAGGACACAACUACUGCUCUCAAUAUGGAAACUUUUCCUCGUAAGAAGGUCUCUGGUAUUUAGUCUAUCCUGGAGUAGGAGCAAAAAAAGAAUUUUUGUUUAGGGAAGGAAUUUGACUUCCAUACCCAAUGAAAAGGUUUAGGAGCAUCAAGAGGAUUUGCAAUGAAUUCCAGAUAAAUUUGUUGGUUGGAAUAUUUGGUGCCACUCCGGUAAAACUGUCAUAUAUCAGAUGUGCCUACUGAUAUGCCAUCUUCCCCGUCUCAGCCUACUUAUGGCUUGCAUUCCUAUUCUCCUUCCACCUAUUGACCACCUUGGUCUUCCAAGCGCUAGAGCUACUGUUCUUGAGUCAGCUUCUUAUCAUGAUGUUGUUCAUCCCGAUACGUUUCAAUGGUAGAGGAGGUUGAUGCCCUUGAGCGCACCAACAUGUGGGAUCUUGUUUCUCUUCCUCCUUGUCUUCAUCACAUCACUUAUAAGGGGCCUACAAGGUUAAGACUCGCUCGGAUGGUUCUAUUGAGAGUUACAAAGUUCAUCUAGUGUCUCGUGGCUUUCAACAGAAGCACAGUCUUGAUUCCGAUAAAACUUUUUGCUUCUAUGAACCAUAUGACCACUAUUCACACACUUUUUGUUGUGGCCUAGCUUGAUGCUAAGAAUGUAUUUGUUAAUGGUGAGCUCCGCGAGAAGUUUACAUGCAACCACCACUUGGGUAUUCUAUUCCUGACGACAUGCUACGUCUUUUUCCUCGCUCUCUAUGGAGUUAUAAGAAAGCCCUGGCACCUGGUUUGAGUGCUUUACCUCUCUAGUGGUUGUCGCUGGUUUUGUGAAGGCACGUCUUAGUGAGCAGUUUCUUAUGUCUGAUCUUGGCACUCUUCGCUGCUUUCUUGGGAUUACAGUCUAUUACUCAAGAAAAGUAAUCCAAGAUCUUCUUGCUCGUGAUAACACUUUGUCUGAUCCGACGUUUUACCUUCAUCUUGUCGAGAGACUUAUCUACCUAGCUGCCACUCACCGAAAUAAGAAACAGAGUACAGUGCCCCUGCUCAAGUGCACCUCUACCCUCCACUAUGUGCUUUGCGGCAUUGUCGUUGUGGCUAGGAUGGUGGCAGAGGCUAGGAUGGUGGCAGACUCGCUAGCGCCAAUGCCUCUCACACGAUGUCGCUAGAGCCUGCAUGCCAGGGGACAAUGUCGCCAUGGCUCCUGGCAUUCCCACUCACAGAUCAAUGUGUUUGUGAGUGAGACUAACAAAAAUACAUGAAAGGAGACGAUGACUAGCGUAUUAGGGGAAUCAGGCCUAAACAAAAUUGUUUGAGAUCAGUUCGGCCCACUACCAAAAUGUAUUAGGGGAAUCAGGCCUAAACAAAAUUGUUUGAGAUCAGUUCGGCCCACUACCAAAAUGGUCCGUGUAUUCUACAAAGUGAGACACGCUUUUGAUGCAAACAGGACCGAGUGAGAUAUAGUCAUAGUCUAUCAGGGCCAAAUGAUAAUCUCCUUUUUUGGCAAACUUUUAACCCUUGCUUUUAAAUACUAAUUUGACCCAAACACUAAACAUAGGUGAACGUCAUUCUAUAUACACCAUAACAUAUUUUCAGAAGCUACCAACAUGAAAGGCAAAUUUGAAAGAGGUCUUUGUGAAUUCAAUAGAUGUUCACAAAUUCAAAAAAUAUGUUUGCAAAUUUAAAAAAUAUUCAAAAAUUCAAUAUAAGUUUGUGAAUCCAAAAAAUAUUGAUGAAUUCAAAAAAUGUUCAUGGCGAAAUCAAAAUAUGUGCAUGGAUUCAAAAAAAGUUUGGGAUUACCAAAAAUGCUCUCAUAUUUAAAAAAUGUUUACGUAUUCAAAACAAGUUUGUGAAUUGAAAAAUGUUUAGGACUUUAAAAAAAUGUUCACGUAUUUGAAAAUUUUCAUGUAUUCAAAAAAAGUUCAUAAAUUCAUAAAAUGUUUGCGUCAAAUUCAAAAAAUGUUUGCAGAUUCUAAGAAUAUGCUCACGAAUUCAAAAAAUGUUCACAAGUUUUUCCAAAAAUGUUCAUGAAUUCAAAAUGUCCAGGAAUUUGAAAAAGUUGGCGACUAAUUCAAAAAAUGUUCACGGAUUCUAAAAUCGAUUCGCAAAUUCCAAAAUUGUUCAUGUAUACGAAAAAAGUUCACAUAUUCAAAAAUAUUUAUGAAUAGGAAAAGGCUAAAAAAUUCAAAAAAUAUUCAUGAAUUUGAAGAAUGUUUGGGAAAUCAACUUUCUAGCAAUUUCAAAAAAUGUUUGCGGAUUUAAUAAGGUUCACGAAUUGAAAAUGUUCAAAAGAUUUAAGAAAGAAGAGGGAUGAAAAAACGAAAAGGAAGAAACCAAAAGAAAAACAAAAUAAGGACACAGAGAAACGCAUGAAAAUAAGAAAUGGAAAAAAUCGAUAACAAUCCCCAAUCACUUCUAAAAGACUAUUUUUGGUUCGUCAUCAGAUGAUGCUUCUUCAUCGACCUCUUCAGUUGACCCCCUGGCUACGCUGGAGAUUGAUUACACGACGUAGGUGUCUGCUAGCUGCUUAUUUUGGUUAUCCAUCGAUAGGCUUUGCAAGUUUUCCUACUUCCUCUAGUGGUACGGAGAGACCACUUUCUUACAAUAUCUUUUUACAAUAUCAGGUACACCUCCAUGGAUCCUUGAGCAUGGAUCCUUGGUACUCAGUUGUCUUUUCAUACAACUUAUGAUAAUUCUAAUUUGCCCUCCAUUCCACCUCUAUAUUCUCUUGUUCAUGUUCUUACUGCCGAUGGCACUCUUGGCACUUCAUCUUUUCAUGUUUCUUCUUCUCAUCAUGAUCCUCGACUUCACUAAACUGAUUGCCUGUGUGUUGUGGAUUCUUCUCAUGAGCCAUCUUCCUCGACUACUAUGUCUUCUUCUGUUGGCAACGCACUACCUCUAGAUCAGACUACUUAAGGCCUCCGAGAUCACCCACUUCUGUGUGCUGGCCGAUAUUCUUAUUGUGUCGCACUUACUGAGAAGAUUUCUUAUUGUGACAUUGUUAUUCAUCCUAAAUGGCAUUGUGUGAUGGCAUUGAAGAUUGAUGCUCUUGCCCACAUCAACGUGUGGGAUCUCAUUACUCUUCCUCCGACAUCACUUGUAAGUGGAUCUAGAAGGUUUAGACGAAGGUGGCUGGUACGUUGAUGGUUGUCGCCUCUCUUCCGCCUCACUUUUGGGUUGAGGUUAUUUCUGCUUCGACCUAUCUCAACAUUCACCAUUCCUUUGCUCUGCAGGAUGAGAUUCCUCUCGAGCGUCUUUUUGGUCGUUCUUGUGAUGCUUCUUUUGUUCUAUUGCGUUUUUAGCGUUCUUCUUACCUUUGUGAGCACCCCAAACUGAUUGCUCAGCCUGCUGAAUGUGUCUUCUUAGUGUCUAGUGAUGAGCACAAGGGCUAUUAGUGUUGGGAUCCUAUCGGGAGUCGGAUACGCAUUUCUCGGUAUGUGACUUUUCAUGAGUCUCGUCCUUUCUAUCUAGGUCCAUCGUCUCCUUUGGCCUCACACAUUAACGAUAUUUCUUUACUCAACUUCCUCGAUACUCCUAUCACUCAUGUAUUGCCUUCUUCCACCCAUCCCACUGGGUCUUCCCGCUACACCACCUUGUUUGUUACCUCGGGCUACCUCACCUCACUUGUCCCUUAAGGCUUCCUGAUGAUUCUUCCUCAUCCUCUUCACUACACUACCAGUGCACGUGUUGUGGAUUCUUCUGAUGUAGGUUUGUAGUUAUAAUUAUAUCAUUUUAGAAAUCGUAUGUAGGUUUGACUAGAUGUCUAGGCCCAUGUCUGUACUCUAUAAUAUCAUACGUAAAUACAAGGAUGUGCCUUAACUUAUCACCAUCCUCUAGAAGGCAAUCUCUAUUUCAACCUAGGGCGUGCAUUACAUGAUGGAAAAUACAAAAAUCUUUCAAACUUUGACAAAAACUUAUAGAAGUAAUUGUAACUGAAAUAAAUAGCUAUGUUUGCGAUCUCAAAAGGAAGAUAUUAAUGAUGAGGUUUCGAUCAUACUUACAAAGUGAACUCACGUGAGCUGUAGAACGAUCCUCAUUUCCGAGGAAUUGAGUAUUUGAAGUUGGUGAAUGAAAACUUAAAUCCAUUAGUAGAUCAAUCUAUAGGAAACGAGGGGAAAAGGGAGUUACACUUGCCUGUUUUACUAAUGACCUUACAAAGAAUUGUAACUAGACACUGUGCAACCACCAAGAUGGUGCUUGAGUGUGCAUCUACCAUGCAGCACAUAGAAGAUUUGAAUAUAUAUUGGGUAUAUGGCCUAACCACAGGAGCAAGUUAGACUUAAAACUACCUGUGGAUCUGAAAAUGUCACAAAGCAAAAGCAGCAGUAGCGGUUUGUGUGUCUCUACAGCAUGGUCUACAAUAAGAAAUACAGACCAAAGCAUAAUAGUAAGCAUCUGCCAACCUUUGAACUUCAUGAUGAAGGGCAAAAAAAUCAGUAAAUAACAACAAGGAUUCAUUACCACAACAUUUGUCGUAGUUCGUUCGAAAUUGUAGCAUACAACAGCUUAUAAAUGGAUUGGCACACACAAAAACUGGAAAUUUGCACUUUGACAAGGUAGCAAAAGGAAACAUUACAAACAUAUGCAAGUCUAAAGAAGCUAGUCUCCUUAAAAAACAUGAUUCUCUUUUGGAAUAAACUAGCACAUAUGCAUAUGCAUUGCAACGAGGACAUAAAUAUUCUAGCAGUUCAACACCCAUCGUCUAUGAUUUGAAAUUCUGGUUGAGAAAAGAGGUGUUAAGUUCUUGUAAAAAUCCUAAUUCUAUAUACAACAAUGGAAUUUUGUCACUCUAUCAACCAUUGUUGUUAAACUGAAUCAAUAUAACUACAAUCGGGAUACCUUGUGUCAGCUUAUAGAAGUGCUAAGACUAUCGCAGCAAGUAUACCUUGUACAUUGAACAAAGCAGCCAUAUGAACAUAUGACAAGCAAGGUAAGUACGACAAAUACACUAACUGUUAAGCUCAUGCUGAGUAGGGUCAUACACAUUAAAUGCAACUCAGGAGAAUUUCUCUUUUAUCCUUGUUACCAGCACACAAUUAUAAUGAGCACCAGAUGCCACAAAUACAUCAUCUAUCGAAAUCAUCCACCCACACACCUACUAGCAAUACACCUGCAGAACCCACACAGGGAUCUUCUGAUACAGAACUUGUCGUGGAAUUAUCACGUCAGAUGUCCUAGUGUGAGGACUUAGUCGUUGAGCCAUCACAACGAGAUUAGCUUAAAGGGGUUAAACCGGACAAAGGACACGGGGAGUUUAUACUGGUUCGGCCCCUUGCGGUGAAGGUAAAAGCCUACGAUCCAGUUGUGGUGGAAUUGAUGGGGUUUCGAUGACUAGGGAGCGAAUCCGCUUUGCCUAGCUCUCGAGUAGUUGUUUCUUGUCCUUGAACCACCGUCGGGUCGUCCCUUUAUAUACACAGGUUGACGCCCGGCGGUUUAUAGAAUCCCGGCCGGCUCAUACACGUGUCCGGCUCGGUUUCUUCCCUUUCCUAUCUUACAACACAAGUUACAUAGUAUAUGGCGGUUUAUGUCUACGGGCCCUAAUCCGCCUUUGGGCCCUGGGCCUCUAAGUCUCUUCAGUAAAGCGUCAUACUCCUUGUCUUCAUGGGCUUCAAUAUGGAUGACUCGUUACAGGUAUAACCCAGCCCUACCUGGGCGGUUUAUACUCAAUAGUUAUAUCCCCAACAGUAGGCCCCAGAUUGAUUUUAACCUAUUCAUGUCAAUCUUCCACACUUACAAAAAUUCCUUCUUGAACACCUUCGUGUGAACCUUGUAAUCCACCAUGACGUCAUCUUCCAAGAUUAUAAUAAACCUCCAUGAUGUCACCUGCUUAUUAAAAAACUGUACAUACCUCCCCUUUUUUAAUGAGCUUCCAAAAAUUGAGGCGAAAAUUCUGCCACUUAUCCAUUUUUUGGGAUCCUCGAUUCUCGUGCCUGUCGCUUACCCCUUCACCUUAUAAAUAACACCGAGGGUCAUUUUUAAUUUUCCCCCUCAUGCCUCUUCACUUCUUCUUCCUCCUCGUGUCGACCUAGCGCUCAAGCUCAGCCGCCGCCGCCGCGUCUUCGUCCUCGACCUCAACUCAGGCCGCUGCAUCACCCUGAGCUUACCAGAGAAUCGCGGUGCCUCUCCGCUACUCCGGUGACACCGGUAAGUCCUUUUUCCUUCCACCCUAGAUCUGUCAUUAGGGUUUCUCUAUCCAUCGGUGUUCAUCAGUGUUCUUCACUUGUUCUUCGUUGUUGCAUGAGUAUUUGAUAGAAACUUGUCAUUUUCCAUGUGCGGUCAUAGCCAUAAUCCAUUUUUCCUCAUCACAACAUCUCUUUUUGGUAAAAAAUUCCAUCUAGACCUUAACUGUUCCGCUGUCACAACUUAGGGUUUUAGAUUUUUCUCGCUUUUUUGAACUGCGGUAGAUCCGAAAUUAUAGUGUCAAUCUAUAAAACCUGUUUGUGCAACACUUAGUUAUUUUCAGAUCUGUACCUUCCACACCAAUGUAGGUGGUUUAACUUUAAGAAAAUCAUAGCCCGCCAGGUAGCAUUAGCCCUCUCUUACACCGCCGAUUCGUCAUCUCUAUAACCCUGCCAAUGUCUGAAUCCGGUUUGAUAUGUAUAUAUGCCUCAACAUCUUCUCCCUAUGACCUUGCGACGCUUUAUACUUCUCAGUCGUGAAUCAUAAACCGGCAUUGAUCCUUUUCCAGCUUUUCAUUGAAAUGGCCAAACAAUUUUAUGCUUGUAACUGGGUCCCUUCCCGAGUUACAGAAGAACAGCUGACCGAGUGUGUUGCCACCGGCACUUUAGCGAGUAAAGAGAUCAUCCACUAGAGGGUCCCCGGUCCAGAAAAUACUCCUGAACCCAAGGAUGGAGAGGUGAUUGUGUUUGAUGAUGAUCUGAGUCGAGGGUUUAGCCCUCCCGGAUCAAAAUUCUUCCAUGACGUGCUUGCUAGCUUCCAAAUCCGCCCUCAAGAUAUUGGACCAAACUCCGUGUCCAAUAUUUGCAAUUUUCAAGUGUUUUGCGAGGCUUAUCUGCAAGAAGAACCUACUGUCGAAUUAUUCAGAGACUUCUUUUACUUAAACCGCUGUAUUGAAUUUACGGACCGGCCCAACACUGAACUUGGCGGUGUUUCAAUUCAGAAGAGGAAAUAUGUCAAUUUCCCUCAUGCUAAGCAUCAUAGCCACCCCAAAGACUGGAAUCAGACUUAGUUUUAUUGCCGAAACGCAGCUCCAAAUGACGAAAAUCCUCUGUCGGGUUAUCAUACUCACCGGCUUACCAAUAAACAUCCAGUUCCCCAACGACUCACUGCAAAGGAACGAGCUAAGUAUGCACCCCAGCUUUCAAAGCUCAGAGCGUUUAUGGUGAAUGGUUUAACUAGUAUCGACUUUGUCCACUACUGGGUCUCUUGGAGUAUUUUUCCCUUAAGCCGUCGCCCCGGUUUAAUGUGUGAGUACAUAGGAGAUCUCAAAGAUCCUUAGCGGCAUAUUGAUAUUCAGCUAAGUGACGAAGAAAUUACUGAAUCUGUCAAGAAAAUGCUGGAUGAACCGGUAUCUGAGUGCAGCAAGACAGGGCUCAGUCCUUUCUGUGUUUUCAACAAACCGCCAGCUGUAAGAAUUGCAUCAUUCUUGUCUUGAUCCGUCCCCUCUUAAAUAUUUCUUUAUAACUUGUUGUCCAUCUUUGUAGGGUGAUGAUCCGUUCUGGAAGAGGAAGCCGCAGGAUAAACCGGCGAAACCGCAUGAUAAACCGGUGAAAGCGCCUCGCACUAAGACCAAAGUUACAAAGAAACCUGCGAAGAGGAAAGCCGCCGAGUCCCCUAACCUGCCCAAUGAUGAAGAGCUUGAUGAUCUAGAGUCAGAGGUAGAACUUGAUUCUCUUGGUUCUUUUUUCAUACACCUCAUUGACAAUGAUCAUUAUCAGGAUGAUGUGGAGGCUAGCCGUGCUGGUGAUGUAGAGGUAAUUACUCUUUCUUCCAACUCAGAUCCUGUGCCAACACCAAAAACCCGUCAAGCAGUCCGUAAAGUAAGAUUUUCACACCCUCUAGCUUAUUCGGAUCCGCACUUUCUUUUGAAGACACAGCAGCAUGAGCUCACCGCACAACCCGACAUAGCGGCCAAGUGGUUACCUACUCCGGUUUACCGAACUCUCCGGUUCGUAAACGUCGCCAAGAGGUCUCUUAUACUUCUGAUACACCUUAUCCCGGGGUGGGUUAUUUCUGAUAUCCUCUUAAUCCAUCUAACUCGAAUUACCAGGGGACCUCCCAUUCAUCUUCUGGUGAAUCAACAUCAACAAAGCUUCCAACCCUUAAAACGGUUCCUGGGUGAGCAGAUUUUGCUAAUCCGUCAUACCUUUAUAUUUUUUAUCCUUGCACUGUUCUAAUGCAUACUUAUUACUUUCCAGGGCCAAAGCCAGAACCAGCAAGAAGGCCAAAGUGACCAAACCGGUUGAAGACCCCAAUCGGGAUGAAACGGAACAAACUCCUGAACUGUCACAUCCAGAUGUUGACAAUAUUCCUGAUGGCCCGUCGUUGCCGGAUCAAGCAACUCAAGCUGAGAACAUGGAUAUUGAUCCAUCGGCCCGUGUUGAUGAUCCGUCAAGCCCGUCUAAAGGUGUUGAUGACGAUGUUGUCGUUACUGGCACUAGUUUUGCCUCCCCUGGCAAUCCUAUCGCUUUAUCAAAGCAUAGUGCCAAGGAAGAACUUUCUGCUAUGGACAAGGGCAAGUGGAAAAUAGAUUUAUCAAGCUAUGCCCACCUCAACGCCCAAGACAUUCAUUCUAGAUUCUUAAACCGCCUAUACACAAGCCGCGACUAUGAAGCCGGUUUAGUGGGCCUGAUGAAGGAGCGAUAUGAGGUAAAUAUCACUCUCUGCAUAAGCUUUCUUUCCUUAUGACUGGUUUAGGCUAUCAAUUCCAGUAGCCCCCAAGGGCCGGUUCAUAAUGUUAAUGUGAAUCGGGACUUGUAGCAGAACAACAGUUAAUUUUGCUUGUAUAGCCCCCAGGGACCGGUUUAUACCUUUAGGAUGAGCCGGUACCUUUCUGUCAUGAAGCUUCCAAAAUUCUUGAUAAUCAUCUUUGUAAUCUAAUUAAAGAGGAAAAAUUCAUAACCUGAACUUGAGCAAAUAUGCAUUAGCCCCCAAGUGCCAAGUGUAUAACUCGUUAUGUGCUUGGGAUUUAAAAUGACAAUUGAUAAGAAGCAAUAUGCAUUAGCCCCCAAGUGCCAAGUGUAUAACUUUGUUAUGUGCUUGGGACUUCACAUGUACACUACUAACUCGUUAAAUGUCUCCUGUAGGCUGAUCUGAGCAAAAAGGAAUCUCAAAUCGCCGAUCUUCAAGAAAAUAUCAAAGUCCCAGCAAGCAGAAACUUCCAAGGCUAAAGAAGAGUUGACCGGCGCUUUAACAGCCAUGGAACAACUGAAGGACAGCUUUAAAAGCGAAUGGGCGGGAUGGGAUGCUGAAAAAACAACUCUGCUAAAGCGGGCGGAGGACGCUGAGGCAGCCCUUAAUCCGGUAGUAGAAGAACUGACUGGCUUGAAACGGCAAAUCAAUGCUAUGACCAGUGUUGUCUUCGGUAAAUAUCCUUUUCAUAAGCUUUAAAUAAGUAACAUCCAUGGAACUGCCGGUUUAAUAAUAUUUUGACCAUUGCAGGUAGCCGUGUUACUCAUCUUGGCUUGGACAUGCUCAAAAAACUGAAGGCUGCUUAUACACUGAUAGAGAAAUUGUAUACCGAUGCUCAACGGGUCAUCUGCACAGCUUCACAUAAUAAACCGCCCCCAACUUUAAUCAAGGAAAUGUUGGAAAAAUUAUCUAUGAUGCCUGCCUGGCUUGAGGAAUUGAAGAAAUCAGCUGCUAGGGCCGGUGCUCUUACAACAUUGACUCGGGCCAAGGCAUGGAUAUCUGACCUUGAUCCGGAAGAUAUUGGAAAUGGAGAGUCCAGGCCAAAAGGAGGACGGGUCAGAUUUUGAUAAUGACGACCUCAGGGCCAUAACGAGGGAAAUGCGUCCACUGGCAAGCAAACUGGCUGAAGACACUGAUUUGUCAUUUUACCAAACGAUUUAUGAUGCCAACAACAAACGGGUUAACGCACCGACUUAUGAUGUGCAAAAUCUUAUCCCGCCAAUCCAUAAGCAUACCUACGCUCCUGACCAUCCAACCUUAUAAGUGAUGAAGCUGUCUUCCAAGCCUUAACUGGGAUUGACUGGGCAACCAUUGACUUCCAGCCACUGGGUGGAGAGGAGGAGGAUGACCCAGCGCAGGAUGAUCCACAGCCUUCAAGUCAGCCUGGUGAAGAAUCAUGAUCCGGAGGCUGGUUUAGCUUCUGCACACUGCAACCCGUGUGAUAAACAAUUAUCCUUUUGGGGCAUCAAAGCGCCUUGUAAUAGGCUAGUUUAAAUACUUGGUCUGCUAUGCCAUCGUGGAUAUUCACAUUGCAUAAUAAUGUUAAUCUGUCAUGAUUAUGCUAUGUCUGCUUAUGAUCUUUAGCAGCUUUAUUCAAUCAUGUAUCUGCAUAUAACAGGUUUAAAGUGUCCUGGCGGUUUAUCGCCGGACGGGUCAUAACGCCCAACAUAAAACCAGGGUUUUAUAACCAAGGUUGUACUUUUAAGAAAAAAUAUGAAAUAUAUCAUACCUAUGACAUUGAAUCACAUCGUUGGUUUACCAACUUAUUGUAGUAAGGGUGACAACCCAAAUCUUGAGUACUGAUAACUCCCAUCAUGUUUUGCUGGUUUAUAAUGAAGCCGUACCGGGUUAUAAUAAACACCGGAUUAUCCAUAUAUCAUACUGGCGACUUGUUGUCAAAGCCAAACCGGGUUAACAAACACCGGAUUAUAGUUGAUCAUAUGCUGACAACUUAUAGUUGAAAGCCAAGCUGGGUCAAUUGACACCGGUCAUCUUGUAAGUUUGUACUUGGCAACUCAAAAGCCAGACCGGGUUAGUAAGCACCCGAUUUAACAUAAACCUCAUCGAAAUAAACAUCGAAAAGAAAGAUUUGCGAAGAAAACAUGCAAAAAGGCAAGACUUUUCAUGGGCCGCUAGGCCACUGAGUUAAACCAUUUUACAAAGCCUUAUAAGAUGGACCUCACAUUAACCAAUCGUCAAUUUAACUAUGACAAGUUCAGGGUUUUUAUAAGAUUGGCUAUCAAACGUUCGACGGGUCUUACCAGGAUUACCUGGACGGAGUGACUUACUUAAAAAAGGCAGGAUAACUCGGGGUUUUAGGUGAAUACACCUGGCUUCCAAGCCUGGCUUUUAUAGCCUAUUGCAAGGUUAUAGACUCUUUGUUUUUGUAGAAGCAAAGAGCCCCCAAGCAAUAUUUUGAGCUGUGCUCAAUGGGUGCCUAUGUUUGAGUUGUGCUUUGCAACAAACUCUCUUUGGCUUCUUAUGAUGUUGGGUUUGAAGCCCCCAAGCUCUUUUUUUUCUAGCUUUAUAAGCCGGAUUAAUCAGAACUCCGCUUUAUAAACAGAAGCCCCCAUGUAACAAAGAAAACUUUAAGGAAGAACGGCAGAGGGCCCACUUCAGCAAGGAUGCCAGUUUAUUAUAUUGAUCAUAAUAUAUACAUUGUCAAUAAUAUGUACAUAAUAGGAGCCUACGGCUCAGGUGUAGUAAGGCCGAAGAUGAGCAAUAUUCCACGGCCGGCGGGUCUCCUCCGAUUUGCGUGAGUCUUUGUGCUCUCGAACAUCGAUAAGGUAGUAUGACCCGUUGUUCAGAUUCUUGCUAACCACAAAGGGUCCUUCCCAAGCUGAGGAUAACUUGUGCAUAUCAGUCUGAUCCUAGAUAAGCCAGAGCACUAAGUCGCCUUCUUGAAAAGCUCUGGUUUUAACCCCGACGGCUAUGAUAAUGCCGCAAAUCUUGCUGAUAAAUCGCCGAACGAGCCACCGCUACGUCUUGUUUUUCAUCUAACAGGUCCAAUAUGUCCUGGCGUUCUUGUUCGUUGUCCGCUUCAACAUAAGCUGCCACCCGAGGCGAGUCAUGGCGAAUGUCACUGGGGAGAACUGCUUCUGAUUCGUAAACCAUGAAGAAGGGUGUAUAACCCGUAGAUCUAUUGGGGGUGGUAUUAAUGCUCCUCAAUACGGAUGGAAGCUCUUCCACCCAACAACCAGCAUCCUCUGCAAAGGAACCAUAAGCCGGGGCUUGAUGCCUUUCAGGAUUUCUUGAUUAGCUCUCUCAGCUUGACCAUUAGACUGGGGGUGAGCCACCAAUGACACAUCAAGCCGGAUGUGCUCACGUUGACAGAACUCUUCCAUAGCACCCUUGGAGAGGUUUGUGCCAUUAUCUGUUAUGAUAUUGUGUGGAAAACCAAAGCGGAAAAUCACCACCUUCAUGAAUUGAACCGCCGUGGCUGCAUCACACUUGCUGACUGGCUCCGCCUCUACCCACUUAGUGAACUUAUCAACCGCCACCAGAAGGUUGGUCUUCUUAUCCUUGGACCUCUUAAAGGGCCCAAAAAUAUCUAGCCCCCAAGUUGCAAAUGGCCAAGUGAUUGGAAUGAUCCUCAACUCCUGAGCCGGAAUAUGGGCUCAGCGUGAAAACUUCUGACAACCGUCACACUUCUUGACCAAAUCCUCAGCAUCAGCAUGAGCCGUUAGCCAGUAGAAACUGUGUCGGAAAGCUUUAGCCACGAGGGACUUUGAACCGGCAUGAUGACCACAAUCCCCUUCAUGGAUUUCACGCAAAAUCUCACAGCCUUCUUCAGGAGAAACGCAGCGCUGAAACGCCCCCGAGACACUGCAAUGACAUAACUCGCCAUUGACAAUAGUCAUGGACUUGGAGCGCUGGAUUAUCUGCCUGGCCAAAAUUUCGUCCUCAGGUAACUCGCCCCAGGUCAUGUACGCCAGGUAUGACACCAUCCAAUCAGGGAUAGCAUGAAAGAACCACCACCAAUUGAGCCUCCGGGUCAGGAACAGCCAGAUCCUCCUCCGUCGGUAGUUUGACCGCAGGGUUAUGCAAAACAUCAAGAAAGACAUUGGGCAGCACCAGUUUAUGCUAAGACCCCAGCCGGCUUAAUGCAUCCGCCACUUCAUUCUUGCGCCGGUCAAUGUGCUCCACCUGGUAACCCUUGAAGUGACCAGCAAUAACAUCCACCUCACACCGAUAAGCCUCCAUGAGUGGAUCCUUAGAAUCCCAUGUACCAGAUACUUGCUGAGCCACUAAAUUGGAGUCCCCAAAGCAUCGUACCUGGAUUAAGUUCAUUUCCUUAGACACCCGAAGACCGUGGAGCAAGGCCUUGUACUAAGCUGCAUUGUUAGUACAAGGAAACAUCAAGCGGAGGACAUAACAAAAUUUGUCACCUCGAGGGGAAGUAAGAACCACUCCAGCCCCCGAGCCCUCCAAUACUCUGUCCCGUCGAAGUGAAUAGUCCAGUACGUGUUAUCCGGUUUAUCCUUCGGCGCCUGUAACUCUGUCCAGUCAUUGAUGAAAUCCAUGAGUGCUUGGGACUUGAUGGUCCUACGAGGCAUAAAUUUUAACCCGUGAGGUCCAAGCUCGAUAGCCCACUUAGCAACUCGGUCAGUUGCUUCCUUGUUCUGGAUGAUAUCGCCCAAAGGAGCGGAACUGACCACAGUGAUGGGAUGGCCUUAAAAGUAUUUCUUCAGCUUCUGUCUCGCCAUAAAAACUCCAUACACAAGCUUCUGCCAAUGUGGAUAUCUUUGCUUCGACUCAAUAAGCACCUCACUGAUAUAGUAAACCGGCCGCUGAACCGGAUACUCUUUACCUGCCUCCUUGCGCUCUACCACAAUAUCCACGCUGACAGCCCGGGCAUUAGCAGCCACAUAUAACAGCAAUGGUUCUUUAUCGAUAGGGGCGGCAAGAACAGGCGGCUCGGCUAACUGCUUCUUCAGAUCUUCAAACGCCGCAUUAGCAGCAUCACUCCAGACAAAGUUGUCUGUCAUUUUCAUCAUUUGAUAUAGAGGGAUAGCCUUCUCUCCCAACCGGCUGAUAAACCGGCUUAGUGCUGCAAUACAACCGGCCAGACAUUGAACAUUGUUGAUACUCGUCGGUUUAGCCAGAGACAUGAUAGCUUUGAUCUUUUCUGCAUUAGCUUCAAUGCCCGUGUUAGACACCAGAAAACCCAAGAGCUUGCCUGCCGGUACACCAAAAACACACUUGGCCGGAUUAAGCAUCAUCUUAUAAACCCGGAGAUUAUCAAAAGUUUCCUUCAAAUCAUCUAUUAACGUCUCCGCUUUCCUGGACUUCACCAUGAUAUCAUCCACAUAAGCAUGAACAUUGCGCCCAAUCUGAUUAUGAAGACAAUUCUGCACAAAUCACUGAUAAGUCGCCUGGGCACUCUUGAGCCCAAAAGGCAUAGAUACAUAGCAGAAGGCUCCAAAAGGAGUUAUAAAAGUUGUCUUCUCUUGGUCCUUAACUGCCAUUUUGAUCUGAUGAUAACCUGAAUAAGCAUCCAUAAAAGUUGUCUUCUCUUGGUCCUUAACUGCCAUUUUGAUCUGAUGAUAACCUGAAUAAGCAUCCAGAAAGCUCAAACACUCACAACCCGCUGUAGCAUCAAUAAUUAGAUCAAUACGAGGGAGAGCAAAGGGAUCAGCUGGACAAGCCUUGUUCAAAUCUGUGUAAUCCACAAACAUACGCCAAGUGUCAUUCUUCUUAAGUACUAGCACCGGGUUAGCUAACCACUUAGGGUGAAAAACCUCCACAAUAAACCCUGCUGCCAAGAGCCAGGCUACCUCCUCACCGAUGGCUUUGCGUCUUUCUUCAUUGAACCGGCAGAGAAACUGCUUGACCGGUUUAAACUUGGGAUCAAUAUUAAGAGUGUGCUCAACGAGUUCCCUCGGUACACCUGGCAUGUCAGAAGGUUUCCAUGCAAAGAUGUCCCGGUUCUCACGGAUGAACUCGAUGAGCAAGCUUUCCUAUUUCAGAUCCAGGUUAGCGUUGAUGCUAAACUGCUUGGAUGAAUCGCCAGGAACAAAAUCAACUAGCUUAGUCUCAUCAGCUGAUUUAAACUUCAAAGCCGGAUCAUGCUCUGUAGUUGGUUUUUUCAAAGAAGUCAUAUCCGCCAGAUCAACAUUGUCCUUGUAGAACUUCAACUCCUUUGUUGCACAAACCGACUCAGCAUAGGCCGCAUCACCUUCCUCACAUUCCAAAGCGAUCUUACGGCUUCCAUGUACUAUGAUGGUCCCCUUAUGACCUGGCAUCUUGAGCUACAGAUAAACAUAACAUGGCCUUGCCAUGAACUUAGCAUAAGCCGGCCGUCCAAACAGGGCAUGGUACGGGCUCCUGAUCUUCACCACUUCAAAAGUCAAUGUCUCUAAUCUUGAAUCAUGAUCAUCUCCACAAGCAACCUCCAGAGCUAUCUUACCGACUGGAUAAGCCGAUUUACCAGGCACCACACCGUGAAAAACGGUGUUUGACGGUUUAAGAUUCUUGUCUGUCAACCCCAUGCGACGGAAGGUUUCAUAAUACAAGAUGUUGAUACUGCUCCCUCCAUCCAUGAGCACCUUGGUGAACUUAUAACCUCCAACCUGAGGCGCCACCACCAACGCUAGAUGACCCAGAUUAUCAACCCGGGGCGGAUGAUCCUCGCGACUCCACACAAUGGGCUGUUCAGACCAGCGCAAGUAACGGGGCACCACCGGUUCAACGGAGUUCACUACCCUUUUAUGAAGCUUCUGAUUGCGCUUGCACAGGCUAGUGGUGAAGAUAUGAUACUGCCCACUAUUCAACUGCUUCGGGUGGCUCUGGUAACCUGACUAUUGCUGCUGCUGAUUCCCCUGUUGAUUAUAACCACCCUGGUUGCCUGAUUGCCUUGAUUGCCAUGUCUGCUUUGAUUACCUUGAAAUCCUGAGCCAGAACUACCUCCAUGAUCAUAUCGGAAAAGAUCUGAGUUUUUGAACUCCCGCAUAAUAAAGCAAUCCUUCCAAAGGUGCGUAGCUGUCUUUUCUCGCGUGGCGUGCCUUGGGCAAGGCUGAUUUAACAGGCACUCAAGAUUGACAUCCGAUCCUCCACUCCGCGGGGGCAGUUUUCCCUUACGACGCUGACCAUUGUCCCACGCGUUGGUGUUAGGCACAAAAUCUGAACUAUUAUCCGCUUUACGCUUACCAUUGUUCCCAUGGCCCGCCGGGUUAUGCUACUGCCCUUUGGUGUCGCCGCUCUUCUUUCCCUUCCCUGGCUUUUCAUCGUCAGACUCGGGGUCCCUGGUACUAUCAGAGUCGGCAUACUUAACCAGAGUUGCCAUAAGUGUUCCCAUGUCAUUGCAGUGGCGCUUGAGCCGUCCCAACUUCAGCUUCAGAGGCUUAAACCGGCAAUUGCUCUCAAACGUUAUGACUGCUGAAAAUCGGCAUUGAUGCGGUUCGAUGAAUGUAAUAUUUCCGAAACUCGAUGCACCCAAUGGGUUGUCGACUCACCUUCUUCUUGGACACAGGCGGCUGAAUCCACAAUUGACAUGGGUUGCUUGCACGUGUCCUUGAAAAUCAGUAUAAACCGGGCCUUUAACUCGGCCCAUGACCCAAUGGAGUUAGCUGGCAAACUUUUCAGCCAGGUGCGAGUUGUUCCUUCCAACAUCAUGGUGAAGUACUUAGCACAUGCCGCCUCAACCACAUCCAACAUCUCCAUUGCCAUCUCAUAGCUUUCGACCCAUGACUCGGGGGGUAAGUCGGCAGUGUAGCUGGGCACUUUACGUGGGCCCUUGAAGUCCUUGGGCAGUCGUACAUUGCGUAGAGCCGGGGUGAUACACGGCACCCCCCAAGAACUGAAAACAACACCUGGUUCCACUGAAGUUGUCGGACGAACCGGAGUAAGUUGACGGUCCACGUACUGCGCUGCUAACUCAGCUUUUCGACGCGCUCUACCGUGAUCCACCACGUCCUAAGCAUUUGCACCACCGCCCACCGGGUUAGGCCCUCGAGAGCCGUUACGGUUCCACGCACUGCUUGACACAGCCGGUUCAUCAAUAUGUCUGUUGUAACUCCGGCUCGGGAGAGGGGUUGAGUGAAUCCUGUCACGACUAUACGAAUAAGCCUGCUGCUGAACCAGGGCCGUUUGAAGGAGCUCUUUGGCACGUCGCAUCUCAACCGCUGCUGGAGACUCGCCUUCCAUUGGAAUAGCUGCCAUUCCCGACACUGCAGCGAUCAUGUUAUCCAAAGGGGUGGAAAAGUGACCCGGUGGUGUCGGCAUGUACUGAGGCGGGUCAUGGUUCCGUCGAGGCGGGUCUGUCGUCCGUGGCUGAUCCGGCGCUCCUGUCCCUGGUGCUUCAAUCCGGUUUACCGCUGCCGGGUUACUGGUUCCCGCUCCUGGCAUGUUAAAGAGGUUCAUUGCUUCAUAAACCGGUGGUAGACGAGACCGAUGCCUCCUCCUCAACACGUCGUUUGAAGCGUUCUGAUCCAGCAUGAGCCGAUAAUUUUCUGCCUGAAUCUGUUGUGCCUGAGCAUCUAAAGUGGCCCGCUCCUCAGCCAUCCUGGUUUCCUCAGCCACCAAGUCCUCCUUGGCCUGAGCUAUCUGAUCUCGCAGCUUCAUGACCUCCGCGUUAUGCUGAUCUCGAUUAUCCGGGGUAACCUCUGUGGUCAACAGUGUCAUCCAGGCGUCCAAUGAACCGGACAGGACUUGAGCCGGCGGGCGCGCAGGGCCUCCUGCCCCGGUUGCCGAUCCGGAAAUCAUCGCCGCUGCAGCUGAGGAGUGCUGCGUGGGCUGCAUACUGACCAUGAAGAUUGCAACCCGAUUUGGUGGUUCAAGGGGGUCUGAAAUACUGUCGCCAUCGGAGCAGCCCCAAACCGGCCAUCUUGCAGUUGGUACAGUGACUCCGUGUCACCGGUGGAUGAUUCGCUAUCUGAAUAGACAACUGUCUCACCGUCGGAUACCGGUUCAGAUUCCGCACCAUUGAUGAAUCAUACGGACGCAUGCUUCAUGGCGGGCUAAACCCGGGCGGGGCUUGCACGUUGAGCCGUCUCGAUGAGGUCGGCGCAGAUGUCCGGCUCAGGGCCCGGUUCGCCGAUCUUGCCAAUGAAGACAUGAAAUCCUCCGAAGGGGACCCGGUACCCGUACUCGAUUGAGCCAGCGUCGGGGCCCCAACCUGCGUCAUCGAUGUAGAGCUUGUCGCGACAACUCUUGGUCAUCCGGCCCACUGCGUAUCCCUUGAGUCCUUCGAAAUUGCCCUCUAAGAACUUGAAACCAUCGUGCAAUAGCCCCACGGUGGGCGCCAACUGUCGUGGAAUUAUCAUGUCAGAUGUCCUAGUGUGAGGACUUAGUCGUGGAGCAAUCGCAACGAGAUUAGCUUAAAGGGGUUAAACCGGACAAAGGACACGGGGAGUUUAUACUGGUUCGGCCUCUUGCGGUGAAGGUAAAAGCCUACGAUCUAGUUGUGGUGGAAUUGAUGGGGUUUUGAUGACUAGGGAGCGAGUCCGCUUUGCCUAGCUCUCGAGUUGUUGUUUCUUGUCCUUGAACCGCCGCCGGGUCGUCCCUUUAUAUACACAGGUUGACGCCCCGCGGUUUACAGAAUCACGGCUGGCUCAUACACAUGUCCGGCUCGGUUUUUGCCCUUUCCUAUCUUACAACACAAGUUACAUAGUAUAUGGCGGUUUAUGUCUACGGGCCCUAAUCCGCCUUUGGACCCUGGGCCUCUAAGUCUCUUCAGUAAAGCGCCAUACUCCUUGUCUUCAUGGGCUUCAAUAUGGAUGACUCGUUACAGAUAUAACCCAGCCCUACCUGGGCGGUUUAUACUCAGUAGUUAUAUCCUCAAUAGAACUAUUUGACAACCAAAUACAUAAUGUCGUCCAACAAAUCACAUAAAAUGACCAGGUUGGCAUGUACCAUACACUCCCUCUGUCCCGAAUUACUUGUCUUAGUACGGAGGUAAUAUAAUUUCUCCCCUCCUGCUGCACAAAAACCAAUUGGACCUACUGUUUUCAGUACAACAGCAAUUAAUGCUCUGCCCAAUUGUGUUUCACUAGCAACAGCUGCUAAAUGUAGUUGUACUGUCCAUAAACUUCAAAAUUUUAGAUGGGGUAUACCGGCAACGUGAAGGCUAGAAAUUCAGUAGUGGCCAUGUUUUGAAUUAGGUAAUACCUGCCACACUCGCCAACAUGUUGUUAGUAGUAUGCUUAAAAUCCAUGAUGGGACUAGGAAGGCAACACCACUGUUUACAUGUUAGUAAUAAGGUCGAGCGCUUCUUCCAUGCAUGACAAUAACACUGAUUUGUCUCCAGUUGAAAACAACCAAGCCGAAAAGCAUAGUAUAAGGCCAUGUAAAUAUACUCGGUUAAUUUAUGUUCAUUCCAAUCCAUUAGCAUAACACAGAAACAUAGUGUAUACUGAUUAGAUAUAAUCGACAACAUGUUAGGGCGGCAAUCUAGCACGCCAACCCACAAGGUGAUCAGAAUGAAAUUAUAUACACCCAGCACAGCGCAAGAAAGGCAGGUGUGCAUCUUUACUCCCUAAAAUAAUAAUCAAUUAAAGAGCCUGAAGUGUGUUGUUUGUCAAACCUGUCCUGUUUGAGUUCAUAGUAAUCUUGAUAUGUCCCUCUCUAUACUACACGCCAAUUUAAUUCUGGUAAUUAGAUGGAUAUAAUACCAUAGUCAUCACUCAUUAUUAUAGGUUUCCCCUUUUUGUUUGCAAACUCUGCAGACUGUCCGUACAUGGCAAGGUAUUAACGAUGGAAGCUAAAAAUCAUGUCUUUUUUAAAACGACAGAGCCACGUUUAGCUUGGCAUGUGAUCCAGCGUACCUGAGGUGGAGCACCGGUGGUCGGUGUUCCGGCGAAGUUGGUAUAACAGCGAGAUUGGAUGCUUCCAUAGAGCGCUCGAUGCCUAUUAUGUGGCAAAGGAGGGAGUUUAUGUGGAGUCCGUGUCUGGCACAAGUUGAUGGCAUGGUCGAGCAUGACAUAACACUGGCAAAGGAGGGUGGAAGAGUCCGUGUCCGGCACCCGUUGAUGGCGUAAUCGUCCUGCUUUGCACAUGAACGGAUAAGACCUACAAUGGACAAUAUGUAAACCUGAGACUAUUACAUGUAGCAUCUAAAUAACAAAGAAUUGGAAAUAUUACCAGAGAGAAAACCCACUCUGCUAAACAAGCAAUAGUACUUGGACUAAAUAUGGUAUUUAGACAUAGCCGGCCAUUAACAUGAGGUCAUUGUUUUGGGUAUUAUCAGUAAUGUGCUUAGGGAACGUUUGCGAGCUUCUAGGGAAAAUAUUCUGUAGAGCUUAGGCUUAGGUGCACCCCCUUAUCUAGCCAUCCAUCUCUGCAUCAUGAUUCGUGCAAGAACUUUUCUCUUUUUUGUUUCUUCCAAAUAAAACAACAUAUGAACUUCAUACUUUGCAGCACAACAAAACAUUCUAACUAGAAUGUGGGAAAAAAACUUUCAGAUUUUUUCGUGCAUCAUAAGUACUGAAAAUAAUAUUUUUGAAUAAAGAAAAUCUCAUUUUGUAUAUUUAUGUUGGUCAAAAAAAUCUGUAAGUUUUUUCUCUCAUUGUAGUAAGAAUGUUUUGCUAUCUUGCAAAGCUUGAAGUUCAUAUGUUGUUUUUUUGGAAGCAACAAAAAAGAGAAAAUUUCAAGCUGUAAGUUAGUUGUAUAGCACGGAUCUCAAAGCUAUACUGGAUGGUAUGGAUAGGAGAUGUCCAUGAGCCUAAGCUCUAAAAAUCCACGCCCCUAUUGAUAGCCAGAAGCCAUGGCUAAUGUAUCUGAUCUAUGACAAGAACAUGUGUCAUAAGUUAUCAGCUAAUUACAUGACAGACAAUCUAGCAUGGAUUGAAGAGUUUGCAGCUUAUCAGAACUUUUUCCUGAAGUUUUGAUGGUCUAUUGAUAUCUAAUACUGUAAUUACUAAUUGCAUAGAAUAGCAGUUGGUGCAUGAAUCAGAAUCAAUAGAGAUGGGAAGCCAGUCUGCGGGCCUACUUGUGUUCGUCAAUGAAUUGCAUUGCAUAAGGACCAAACUUCUUUUGGGGAGAUCAGCCGCAAUAGCAUCGGGGGUGCAUAGCUACAUCAACGACGGAAAGGGCCAAGAACGGAGACUGCUGCUACCAAGGGCAAAAUCAUACAUGUGCGCAGAGGAAGGAGGACGUUCCGAAGCCCUCCGACCAGAGCGGCGCGAAUCCUGAAGGCGUAGCCGGAGGAAGCACGCGACGGGGGACGCGCCGAGCAGCGCAAGCCUCCGAGGUGUGGCGCUGGGGAGGAGCCGCCGCCGAUCCCGCCGGAGGAGGUGUCCUGAUCUAGCAGUAGCACCGGAGCUAGGGUUCCGCAGCUGGUGCGAAGACUGGCAAUUUAGGAUUUUGGGGGCGGAGGAGAUGGGGAAGGCCCCGUUCUCUUCAUAGGAUUAUGAAGCAUAGGAAAAUAAAAAAGUGUAGGAACCGGGAUUCCUUGUACUCCCUCCUUCCAUCUAUAUAGGGCCUAAUGCGUUUUUCAAGGCUAACUUUGACCAAAUAUUAAAGCAAUAAUAUAUGACAUGCAACUUACACAAAGCACACCGUUAAAUUCGUGUGUGAAAGGAGCUUUCAGUGAUAUAAUUUCCACAUUGUGCAUGUCAUGUACUAUUAAUCUUGUCAAUAGUUAAAGGCGGUCUUAAAAAACGCAUUAGGCCCUAUAUAGAUGAAAGGAGGGAGUAAGUACAAUACGGAGGAAUUGAAACAGAGGAAAGAGACAAUGGCUGCGCGUUCGGAAUAUCGGAUGGGCCACCAGAGGUCGUACUAGUACUAGUCAAGCAGCAACAAUAGGUAUGAGAGUUUUUUAUUCGCAUAUAGUCAUUUUUCUCUCACACCUCAACUCUAUGACAGUAUAUUUUACUCAGCUCGUCAGGAGGGCAGCCUCGGGCUUCCGCCAAAAAAGUGAUCAGAGUAGAUGUGUUUAUUCCUAUGGAAUCAACACUGUUACGAAUAAUUUCCUCUGAUCUACUGUAGCAGAUUCCUUUGAAAAGAACGCAGCAAAGGAAAAAGAAACCAUGGAACUCACAAUUCCUUAGGAAUGUGUAGAAAUCCUGGGAAGCGAACGGGCCCGAAGUGGGGAUUGGGGAAUCGCAGAGGCCGCGGUGGCUGGAAUUUUUUAGGGCGCGCGGGGAAGUCCGUCGGGGAAGAAGGAGUCCGACCGACGUGGGCUCGCUUCUUCUGGAUGUGCCGUACGACAAAACUGGGGUUGGGCCGUAUAUCGAGGCUCAGGCGGGCGACGACGGGCUUUCGAAGCCGUUCCAUUGGAGGACGUACAUACCGCCGCCAGGGCUAUGGGCGUGUUUGGUUCAUGUCCUGGCUUCGUGCCUGGUAAAAUGCAGCGCCUGGUGUUGCCCUGGGAAAGAGAGAAAAACUGACUGGCGAGGCACAUGUGUGCAUGUGAUAUUUGGUUGGUCCCCUGGCCUGGGACAAAUAGUUAAACAUAAAAAAGACAGGUUGACAACUUGAUAAGAUAGUAGGUACAGCAUGCAUGUACUUAAGUAGCUGGAAAUCGUAUGUGCCUGGAAGCCAGGCGUCCGACUCCAUCGACCUGGCCCAGGCUAAGCAAGCCGCCUGUGAACCAAGAUGCAUGGGACCUCCAGGCCAGGGACGUCUCCGAGAUGUCAGGUUGGCAACCAAAUAAUGUCCACACAGUUCUCAGGCCAGGCCACUGUGAUCCAAGGCUGCAACCAAAUAUGCUCUAUGUCUCGGAGAGCUCCCUCACCGGCGCCUUAUGCGCGAGCGCUCCGGUAGCAGCUCUUGCUGAAGGUUUUUUCUCCCUCGCGUCAGAUUAGGCCGGCCCAUUCGCGCGAGCAUACCAAGUAAAAAAAUACAGGGAUAUUGCGGGCACUGCUAGCCACGCCACCUAGCUCCUAUUCGUGGUUAGCUGGGAGCGCCCUACUUGAGUCGGUUGAAGCUGGGUUUUUUUCUUUUUCUUUUUCUUUUUCUUUUGUUCCUUCUCUUUAUCUUCUCCAUUAUUUUUUCAUCCUGUUCAUUCUCUUUUGCAUUUUUUCUUCAUUUUCUUUUUCUUUCAUUUAUUUUGUUUCUUUUUUGGUUUUCUUUGUUAUUUUUUGUUAUUAUUCUAUAUUUUUCGUAUUUGUCAACAACAUUUUUUAAUACACUUCUAACAUUUUUCCAAUACAAAUUAAACAUUUUUGUAAUUCAUGAUCAACAUUUUUUAUAAACAUUUUUCAAAUGCUCCAUUAACAUUUUUCCAAAAAAGAUUAAGAUUUUUAUUAAUACAUGAUCAACAUUUAUUCUACACAUUUCUAACAUUUUUUAAAUGAUUGAUUACCAGUUUCUAAUAAAAACAUUAAUAGUUUUUAAAUGCAUGGUCAACAUUUUCUCUAUACACAGCUAAAAAUUUCCAAAAGCUUAAUUAUUAUUUUUUAAAUACUUGCUCAACAUUUUUAAAUACUUGAUUAACAUUUUUAUUUACAUGAUAAAAAAAUUCAUCAUCUUUAAUACAUGAUCAACAUUUUUUAUACACAUUUAACAUUUUCCAAAAGCUUGGUUAACAUUUUUGAAAGACUUGUUGAACAUUUUUCAAAUCCUUGGUUAACAAUUUUAUAUACAUGAUAAAAAAAUUCAUCAUUUUUUAAUACAUGGUCAAAAUUUGUUUCAUAUACAUUUAGCAUUUUCCAAAUGCUUGAUUAACAUUUUUCAAAUACUUGUUCAACAUUUUUUUCAAAAUGCUUAAUUAAAAUUUUAUAUACAUUAUAAAAAAUAAUCAUUUUCUUAAUGCAUGACCAACAAUUUUUUAUACACAUUCAACAUAUUUCUGAAUGCUUAACAUUUUUUAAAUAGUUGUUCAACAUUUUUCAAAUAGCUUUUCAACAUUUUCAAAUACUUCUUCGACAUUGUUUUUCAAAUAUGUUUUGUAGAAGGUUUUUUGUAGUGUAUAUAUUUAGCAUAUUUUAAUGUAUGUACAAAAGUACAAAAUCAAAGCAAAAAUAGAAAACAGAAAACAGAAAACGAAAAUGAAAAAGAGGUUGUAGACUGCCGCGCGCCGGGGCCUGCCCAUCUCGCUCUCUCCUUCAGCGAGACUUCCUCUCGUCUUGCUAAAGGCAAGGUAUAGGGGCACCCCACCGUAUGCGCCAGGACGAAAUCAGUGCCCACGCACCUGGCUACGUGGGCGGGCCCAAGAACAAGCCGUAGAGAUCGCUCACGACGGGCGCUUCCCCGGCUUCCUGGUCGAUCGUUCCGUGGUUGAUCGGUCAACCAUUGACCAUUGACUUCGAGAGAGAAAAUCAAUUAUUCAGGAAAAAAUCGAAAUAAAAUGCUCACAGUUUUCAAAAAGUUCAUCAAAAUUAAAAAAAGUUCCUCAAUUUUUUAAAAAAUUCAUAAAAAUUUGAAAAGUCAAUAUAGGGAGAUGAGCGGCGGCUGAGUAUAAUUUUUACUCCACUAACGCCGAUUGGGGAUCGGCUGGGUCCAGUUAGAGGAGUAAAACCGGGAUUUUAGUCCUCUAAUCGGUUAUUGAGGGUCGGUUUGAAAUACCAUAAUGCAGCAAUUCAUGGCUUUGGAAGCUCUGAUCUGGUAGUAGAAAUUGCACUUCACCGAAUUGGAAGCUCCAAUGUGACAGUUGGAAGUCGUAGUUCAUCAAGAUGGAUGUUUCAAUUUGAGAGUACAUGAUGAGGACAUCUCAGUUGAAAGAACACCAAUCAUCCCUAGACAAACACCAAGUUGUUACAAACAAAUACAUAAUCGGAUGCAACACAACUCGAAGGUGAAAGCUACAAAUGAGGAUUGCACUAUUCCUUUGCGUGGAUAUUAUCUACUUCCCUUCUACAGUUCUAGUUAUCUUUUGUAGAUCAAAUAGAGUCGAGGACGACUCUUCAUUAAGGGAGGGGGGGAUGAUGAACACAACUUUAUGUGUAUAUGUGACAUUUCAAAAAAUGUGCAAAAUUUAGAUGGAAAGAAUUACUAAGCCGAAUCAAGCAAACACAUAUCCAGGUGAACGCUAACUUAAGUUCAUACUAUAAUCUUGAAUACAUGGUUGCACUUUCAUCUCCAUUAUUUUGGUUUAACUUAGGUACAACAUGGAAGCAAUCCAACAACCAAUGAGCUCUUGAAGCAACCGCUUUGGAAGAACAAGUUGGAGAAAAUAAGUUUCAAGUGAAGCUGAUGUUGUCAGUUUUUACCUAUGAUGUUUUGGUGUGCCUCACCCAUGUGAUGGAGAUAUAGGGUCAUAGGGGUACAUCAACAGAAGCUACAUCAAAUUAUCUUUCCAAUGCAAAAAACCUCACAUCAUUUGGAGUUGUGAGUCAAAAGUACUAGUCAUUCUCGUGGAAGGUGUCCAGGCUGUCAAGACUUCGCGAAUUUCCGAGGAGCUCUCCAACAACUCCCAAAGUUGACUGCUUAUUCACCCAAGAAAGCCAUGCAAACCUGCUUACUUUUAAAACCAUUUUCACACCUACCUAAGGUGGGUUGUCCCUGCUAUAAAACCCCAUCUCCUCCAUCCUCUAGAGAACCUUUUAUCAAACCAUUAGCUACAAGCUUAUGCAGCAAGACUGCUAGAGAGAUUCGAGAGAUCUUGCUACAUUUUCUCUUGUGAGUUCAUCCGGAUUCGCGAGAAAGAGCCUCUGGUCCCCCCUAGUUCGUGAUCUACGGUUCCGGCCGUUUUGUGUGGAUUAGUCCCGGUUUGUUAAAAGUAAAUUUGAGAUCAAGGGGGAGAAUGUUAGGUUGAUCUCCACCGUGUGGGCCCAAUGGCCCAUCGGGCAUCUGCGCCCUGAUCGGGGGCGCUCAACCCACUAUGGUUGAUGGACCCCUGUGACCCGCGAUAUAUAAACAGAUGUGGGGUCCGGGGCACGACUUACGAGGUUAAUCGCUGCCACAAUCCCCAUCGACAUUCCCUACCGAUCUAGGGUUAGCGCGGUGCCCAUGGGAAGCACACCACCGCUGCCAUCUCUCUGCCAUCACCGGACGCUGCUUCACCAUGGCCGGCACCGGUGGGAGCACCUCAAGUGCAGGAGAAGGUAAUACUCUACACCCCACUACCGAAAAUCACUGACCCAUACGAUCUAGUGGGUCUAUCAGGUUCCACUAUCUUUUAAUAAGGUAACAAUAUCAAAAUGAGGCCAAAGCAAAAUAAAAGAGAUGUUUCAGCUACUCACAACGGAUAAAUCAAACGUACCAACCAAGCACGCGGCAACACGUAUUACAAACGACUUAUACGGCUGGCUCGGACCGGCGCAGAUGCAGAUCCUUCAAAAGGACCCGUAUAAAAGAAUAUUCACGGAAUAUACUUUUUUACGGGUCGUCUUUUGCAGGGUCUGUUCGGACACCGCCCCGUCGACCCGGAAACAGAAAACGCUCAAUUCUCAUAUUUGACAUAAGUUCCCACAAAUAAACUCAAAUUCAAACAACAUAACACAAUUUUACGCCCAAAUAAAAGCCAAGUUCAGUAUGAGAAACGCAAAAGAGGGCCUUGCAAAAGUUACGGCCAUGUCCGGCAUCAUCUUGGUCGAUCUUCACUCCGUGCCAUCGAGUCCACCUUGAAGUUCAUCGGCACCACUUAAUCCACCUCCGGCGCUUGUCCCAACUCCCGCACCGAAAUCAUCGACAUUGCCACCAUAUGGAGCAGAGAAAACAUCUCCGGAACUGUAACACGGACCGGCCGACGCGACCAUUCUCCUCUUGAAGAUUUCUGUUCUUGCCAUAUCAUGCCAUGUUUUGGUGAGGUCGUCCAUGUCAUCGCAGCAGCGUUGGCACUGGGAGCGCGAGCCUUGGCGGCGGGGGCUGACGGAUUCCCACCCUGCACGACCACAUUGCCCUGCCGCUUGCGGGCAGGCGCGACACUAGCUGGAGCGACCGCGGGGCCAACAUGGCCGGCGGCGAGAUCCACCCGAGAGGAAGGGGCAUGUGCGACCUCAACGGUGACGAGGGGCAGCUAGGAGUCGUCCAUUGUGGCGAGGGACGGCCGCGGAGGAUGCACCGGAGCGUGCGGCGGCGGGGCAAUGGUGGUGGAGGGUGGGGGAGCGGGAAAGGGCGCGUGGAAAUGUCCCUCCCACCAAAUCUCGCUGCGGAUGGGGACUGCGCUCGGGUCGGCCUCCCAGCCCGUGAAACUAAAGGUUGGAGGAAAAAAAUUGCCGCGCCCCGUAAAAAUAUUUACGGGCCGAGGCAUGAUGCGGGGUCUGAUCGGACAGGUUUUUCUGCCCUGCCCCACACUUUGACGAUUAUUUUGCGGGUCAGAACGGGACGAGGGGUCUGCUAAAAUUGCUCUAACUCAGCGAGCUGCUCAGCUGCAGAUAAAAUGCAACUACCCCGGGAUGAGCCCAUACUAGGCCCUACCUUCGUGGAGUACCUGGCUAUGCAUGCAUGCGAGCGUACCUGGCAGCGUACUGCAUAAAUAAAAUAAUUAAAGUGCAAUCGAAAGAUGUUAUAAUUAACUAGCCGGCGUUUAAACCGGCUAUGGAUUUUUUUUUCUGCAAAAGGGCUAUGGAUAUGUAUUGUGGUGAAUUCAUAUAAGUUGUGUUAUUACAUACUCCCUUCUCAAAAUAAGUGUCUAGGGAGUAUUAUUGUACUUGCAGUGCUUAUGGGUUAAUAUUUAUAUAGUUCCACCAUUAUGUUGAGUACGGUGUUUGUCCCUCGCUCUGGAAAAAUUCAGAAUAGAAACCCACUAAUCAAAAUGUCUUUCACUCAUUUUAUCAUCUCUCACACCUUUUCUCUGCGUCGUGCAUUUUCUUCUUCGGAUGCGAUCGAACUUUUUUUUGCGUGUACAGACAUAAUUCAUGUUGGCACUAUCUUCCUUUUCUUCUGCCCGUCAGCUCUCUCUGGCUCCGCUUACAUCGUCCCAUUCUGUAUCGGUCUGUCAUAAACUCAUAAUGAACAUAUAUACACUCGUCUCUUACUACCUCGGCUCCCAUUUUUAUAGCUCCAUCGUCAUGUGUACACCUUCCACCACAGCAGCAAAUCUCAUUCAUGUUUCACGUCGUCUUGGACGCUCUCUUCACCUGUCUUCACCAGUGGUUACAUCAUCGAUCUAUCACUCCAAUAAUACUUACAUAUUAAAUAAAUAAUAUUUACACAUUGUCUAGCGGCCGAGUUCUUUUUUAUCUUCAUAUACCAUGCACAAGACUUCAAAUUCAGCCGCAAUCGCCCGCUUCACUCCCUUAAGACCGAGGGGAAUGAUGGAAGUUAUAUUGUGUUCGAUUUAGAGAUAAAAUAUCUUUAAACAAUGUACAACUUGUCUUGUAAAUAAAGUUUUUUGACAAAAGACUUGGACGAAGCAGCUUACAUAUUGCAUUUAAGAUCUAUAGAGAUAGAUCUAGAUGCCUAAGGGCAUCGAAAAUGCAGACUUCCAAACCGAAACCAUAUCCGUCCACGGAUACUGAUGCAGAAGCCGGCCAUCCAACCAUUGCCGCAUACAAUUCAAAAUGGAUUUCAUAAACCGGAAGAAAUUCAUGCAAAGAGUGAUUUUCAUAUAAACUUGACUGGACGAAAGCAUUUACAUUUCGGACAUAUUUAAACUAAAUUAUAGUGGACUAGGCUAGGCUGUUCUAACCUAGUCUAUCACCAGCCGCGGCGGAGCUCGUUUCCCACGAUAUGUCUUUCCCAUGUCUGGCAGCAAGCUCACCAAAUCGUCGUGAGCUCCGGAGCUAAAUGUUUCAGCGGGAGGGGAAGAAUAGCCUCCCUCUCGAUGAAGCCCUGAUUAGCGAUUGGUUUUGGGCCGGGGGNNNNNNNNNNNNNNNNNNNNNNNNNNNNNNNNNNNNNNNNNNNNNNNNNNNNNNNNNNNNNNNNNNNNNNNNNNNNNNNNNNNNNNNNNNNNNNNNNNNNNNNNNNNNNNNNNNNNNNNNNNNNNNNNNNNNNNNNNNNNNNNNNNNNNNNNNGGCAAGUCGCGAGAUGUGUAACCUGGCGAGAAGGUGAUGAUGGCCUUCCUGGGACCCAAGCGACGGCGGCCUCCCAUGGUCCACUUUUCCUCGCUGUCAGCGAAGGUUACGGAUGUGCCGACUUCAUCGUCAUGGUAGCGGGGCGCAACGGACGCAGAGUUGCCGACAUCAUAGGUGGUGCCCCAGUCAAAUUCCUCUACCACCGUGUCAACCUCCCUUAACAUGGCUUCUUUCUACGCCUGCUGGACGUCGUGCCGCCAUCACGCGGUGCGGAUUUGGCAGGCGGUGGCGGUGGCCAGUGUGAUAGCCUGGUUUUUGCAUUCUCUCUUUUUCCAGACUUUCAGUUGCCUUUGCUUUGGAUUUGGUGUUUUGAAUCAAUUCAGUUGGACUUGAACACUUGGGCAUACCCUUGAUUUUCACCCAAGUGACCCAUCCACCUCUAACUCACCUUUUCUUCUCUGAAAAACUCCAACAAAAGCCAAAUGGAUAUUUUUCAUAAAAGAAAAAUAUUCAUNNNNNNNNNNNNNNNNNNNNNNNNNNNNNNNNNNNNNNNNNNNNNNNNNNNNNNNNNNNNNNNNNNNNNNNNNNNNNNNNNNNNNNNNNNNNNNNNNNNNNNNNNNNNNNNNNNNNNNNNNNNNNNNNNNNNNNNNNNNNNNNNNNNNNNNNNNNNNNNNNNNNNNNNNNNNNNNNNNNNNNNNNNNNNNNNNNNNNNNNNNNNNNNNNNNGACUUCAGAGAUGGAAGCUCCAAAGCAACCCCUAGAUUUCUUGCUCCAAAAAUCCUGAAUAAAUUCACAAAUAUUCUUUGAGACCCUAGGGCACCUUCCUGAGCAAAAAUAUUGCAUAACCUUUUGUAAUAUUUUUGCUACAGAAAAUCAUUUCUGUUCUGGACAGAAUGAUCACUUUGCACAUCAAGUAUAUUUUUGCUUGAGCUUUUGGGGUUGAUCUUUUCUGAGCUUGAUUAUCUUCCUAAGAGAUCACUAAACCCCAAAGCACAAUCCUUAACUCCCACUAGAUUUUUCUCAGUUAAGCUCACAAGUUUCUGUCCAGAAACUUGCCAGGAAGAUAGCCACUCCCACAGUGCACCUGUGAUCCAACCAAGCGUGCAAAACAACUAAAAUCACUAAGGACUAGCUGCCAGAUAUGUUGUUUGGGCUUAGCUCAUCCUGAUGCCAUAGUUCACGCGGUGACCACGUUCGUCCAAGCUGGCUGGCAUGCGUCCGACGUGCUCUGCAUUGCGCCAACGCCUCUAUUUCGCGCGUGCUCGCUGCCCUCGCUGCAAAACCGUGCCAACCGCGCCACCAUCUUCGUUUGAGUCCCCUUAACUACACCACGACAUUGCGGCGAGCAUGGGCACGGCGCGGCCAACGCAACAGUGCGCUCGUGCCCCUGUGCUCUUUGCGUACCACGCUCCUAUGCUCGUCGCAGCUCGCCUACAGCUCCCGCAUGACCUCCGGCGUCUUCCCCCUCUCUCACUGAUGCCAUUCAUCGGCGGCGAGGCUCCAAAGAACUCCGGCGAGCUCUCGAUCCCCGUCUCGGCCUCGGCUAUAAAUAGAGCUCCCCCGAGCUCGUUCCUCUCCUCACACACACUCAUCACACCUCCACACACCCGUAGAGUGUCGUAGCCCAGCCGGGCAGGCCUCAGGCCGCCGUCCCCGCCCCGAGCUCCCCGGCGAUCCCCCUCCUUUGCCCCCACCCGCUCUAGAGCCGCUCGAGCUCAACUGACCCCUCCUGCGUGUUCGUGCCGAUCCACUGGUGCGUGCUGGUGCUGUUGGAGCUGCUAGACUGGCCCUGCGUCACCGAAGCCACCACCUCCGACGAGCUCCGCCCGCUGCCGCCGCUGGAGAGCUCCGUUCCGACCCCGUCCGGCCACCCCUAGCCACGCUACGGGUACGGGCAGGUCCGUCUCCACCUACUCUUAAAUCCUAUCCCUCUAGAUCUCGUUGUCGGGCACUCCUCGCCGGAGAAAGCGCCGUCACCGCGCUGCCCGUCUCUGUUUCUCUCUCUCUCCCCCUCUGGACUGACAGCUGGGGCCGCUGUCAGUCACUCAGGCUGCGCUCGAAGCGGUAUGAGUGGUGGCGCCCUGGCGUUUUACGCCUUCUACGUCACCCCCCUGGUUUUUCUUUUUAAUUCAAAUUUAGUUCAAAUUUGACCAGAACUUUGACUAGCUAUAACCUUUAUUCUACAAGUCCAAAUGAGUUGAUUCUUUUUGCAUUCUGUUCUUACUGGAAAAUCCUAGCAACACACCCAAGAUGGGAUUUUUCCUUUCUACCUAGAAUUCCUGGUAAUUUUCAGAAGUGUUCUUGAUAUUUUCUUUUUGUCAUUUGAAUCAUUUUCAGAAGGUGGAGCUUGUCUUGAAGGCAUCCAGGAGGAGUGUGAAGCUCCUCUGCACUAACGCAAGCCACAACAACAUGAUCAUGGUGUGUUUGCAACAUUCAUGAUUUUCUACUUGAAUUUAUAUGAUAAUCAUUGCAUAUAGUAUUAAAAAUAGAUGAUGCUUGUGUUAUUUAGUUGUUAUGAUCAAAAUUCUUAUUUUCCAGAAAUGAAUGCUCGAACUAGUGAGUUAUAGCUUGAGUACUUGAUCUAAGUAAAUUUUGUCAUGACUAUGGUAUUAUGAGCAUGAGUAUUGUUUUUUGCUAUAUGAAAAAUGAGUUUUAUUUGAUAAAGGCCAACUAAAGUAAUGAGUAGAAAUAACCAGUAAGAAAGGACCAGAAAUGUUGCAAGUUGAGUUUGUGCAAGUAGAACUUUGAAUAAGGUUGAUCUGGUAUUGUUAAAGUGAUAUAUGAUGCAUGAUACAUGGUUGCAUGAGCAUGGCAUAUUGUGACUCGGGCAUUUUUAAUUUCAAGUUAAACCUAAUGAUAAUUGAACUUGAACUUAAAAGUUGGUCGGGUCAUGGUGCCAUGAAAUCAGGCUGCCAAUUGCAACCACAUUUGCCUUAGUAUGGGGAGGCCGUAGUCGUUCCGUUGUCAUGCCUCUUGUCGGUACCUCCAACUAGGGAAGGUUAUGGGCGUGCGUUCCUCUGGCCUGGUAAGCAGACAUAAUCUUGUGGACUUGUUGUUGUUAUGGUACCGUGUCCCCAUUUGGGACGGUUUGUUUGCCACGAUGGUGGUAGUUUUGCCUUUGGUAGGCUGGGUCACCCAGGACUGAUCCCAGAGGGGAGUUGGUCGGAGUGGACGUAAGAGUGCCAUGGCAAUGGGAGGGUUCUGUCGGAAUGUCGUUGGUCCACCUGAAUGGGAAUGCGAGGCCAUGGGUUCCAUGGUGUGGGUAAAGUGUGCUACCUCUGCAGAGUGUAUUAAUCUAUCGAUAGCCGCGCCCGCGGAUAAGGGCCCAGUUUGGAAGUAAGUCACACCAUGGAUCAACUUUCAUAAAUAAUCUUGCACACUAAGUUAUUUGCAUUGCAAUUGAGUUAUGAUAACGUUAGUGAGACUAACUGUUGUGGUAUCAUUCGUGAUCCGGGAGUGGUCACUGGCUGGGUUACGAGGUAACCUAUUGAACCCAGUGUGGUUCUAUUGGUGUUCCGUCGUGAUCACUGUUCAGUUGCAAGGCAACCUGUUGGUAAGAGAGUCCGAGUGACUCGAUGCACAAGUUUGGUCACUACAUGAGUAGCAUGUUGAUAGUUGCAUUAAACUUGUUUAAAUGUCAUGAUGUUGUUUGCCAUUAUGGUUUUGCUUGUUGCGAGCUUGCAAGUACAUUCAAUGUACUGACCUGGCGUGUUAUGCCAGCUUUCAGGAAAGUCUAUCGCAGUGCUGCCGUGUCUAGACUGUGUCCACAUCGGUGACCCUGUGCUAUGGAGUCCCACUACGUCGUUGUUCCGCUGCUGUGUAGAUGUCGUGAUCGAGGCCCUUUAUGUUCACUAAAUAAUGUAUAUAUGUUCAGCCGCACCGGGUGUGUCGCUUGGCCUCGCUACUUGAUGUAAUGUAACACUAUGCUUUAGCUAGUUUCAAUAAAGCGGUGAUUUCUGUACCAAGAUGUUGUGUGUUGCCAGAAGACAUGAUCUCUGGGUUGGCAAUGCAAGGUAAAUCGGUCGCUCUGAGCCGAGGUGCCACAGCCAACCUAGACGGGUGACGAUGGCCCAUGGUGAUGCCGGCCUGGACCGGUGAUGGCGGUAGCGCCGGCUCCCAAGAGCUUGCCGACAAGCCAACCUGUAUCCGGUUGGCUCAGCGGGCCACCGAGUCGGCUGCAAUGCCAAAGAGUUCCUUCGUCUAUUCGUAAGAGAAGCUGUCCCACACACGACUUUGGAGCUCGAGGCCAUGAUGUGUGCUGCAAAGAGGAGAUGGAGAGCGGAGGUGUUGUGUGACUCCUGCCCAGCGCCUAGCCACAUUUAAAUAGGGGUGAAUGCCAGGUGCCAGAGGUAGGGUGUUUAAUGCCGGUCGGCAUACAAACAGAUGUGUGGUGCAUGGAGAGUCAAAGUAGGUUCCUCGGCAGACGGCUUGGUUAAUGGAGGUAGGCGGGCAGACAGAUGCCGUUUCGAUGCGGAGCAAAGAAGCGUGCAAUGGGAGACGCUUCAAUGUUGGCUUUAGUGAGAGGUCGUGUACGCUCCGAGCCGGAAUGAAUGCGGCGCUAACCGUUUUUGGCAGAAAAGGGCACGGCCGAGGGAGUGGAUUUUGGGUACAUGCCCGUAUUGAAAGGCAAAACGCGUCCGGAUAGCAUGGUCGGAUAACGAUGCCCUAAUAAGGCCUAACCUAAGCAUCGUGCAUUGAUGUACCCCACCAAAAAAACACGUACGUUUUUAAAAAAUGGGCGCUUUAUUACUUAAAAGAUUUAAGCAUUACAUCCGGCCUCUGCAUAGCUAAGAUGCACACAGCCAAACAAUACCCUCUCAUUCAAAUGAAAAAAAGGCAAAAUACAAGAAAAACAUGCAGUAUCCGUAUAACGCCUAAAGCGGAGGGGGGCCAAUCCUAAGAUCAUGUUGUCACCCAUGUUGGGUAAAAGUAUCCCUCGUCGUAGCCUUCCAAUUAUGUACACACCUUCAUAAACAGGUCUCGAUUCUCCACGCGUUGUAGAGAGGACCAUAAACGAAGAGUCCCAGUACAUCUGUAGAUAACCUACAUAAGAGAAGUACUUUUAUCGUUAAAAACCUUAUCAUUUCUACAGAGCCAAAGCGACCAAAUAACUGCAAGCGCUCCCACCCUAAGAAGGGUUCUAAGCCUGUGAUCAAUCUCAUGUAGCCAGUUUUCAAAUACAUUAGCAACACUACAAGGAGGAUACAAGUCAGAAGCUAUUUGAAUGACUGACCAUAUAGAAUGAGUCAAUUUGCAUUGGAAGAAUAAAUGUUUUAUUGUCUCAUCAUAGUGACAAAAGACACAUUGCGGACUUCCAUGCCAAUUCCUCUUAAUAAUGUUAUCUUUAGCAAGAAUGACUCCGCGACGAAGAUACCAUGCGAAGAUUUUAUUCUUAAGCGAUAUCUUCAUCUUCCAGAUCUUCCUGUUAUUAUCAACUGGCACAUCAGACUGGAUUAACACUCUAUAUAUAGACUCCACUGAGAACUGUCCAUUCCCAUGUAGGUACCAUCGGAAUACAUCAGACCCAUGUGCCAAUUGCACUGUGGACAACUGCUGGAGCAGGAUGUUCCACGAUUGUAGUCUGGGUCCAAAUAAAUCCUUUCUAAAUGUCACAUUUGGCGGAAAUGAUUCCAUUACCAUGGUGAUAGUAUCACCCUUGUGACAUUCAAUGUUGUAUAGAGCCGGAUAUUGUUCCCGGAGAGUGGCAUUUCCUAGCCACUUAUCCUCCCAGAAUCUAAUUUCCGAGCCAUCCUUAAUCGAGAAAGAUCCAUAGCAAAAGAAAUAUUUCUUCGAAGCCAUUAGACCCGCCCAAAAGUGGGAAUCCCCAGGCUUCCAAUAUACUUGAGAUACUGCCUUGGAGCCCACAUAUUUCCGUCUGAGGAGGGUUUGCCAUACACCAUCUUCCGUCAGUAAUUUUAACAACCAUUUACCGAGUAGGGACCUAUUCUUAAUCUCAAGGUCAUGAAUGCCCAACCCGCCUUGGUCUUUGGGACGGCAAACCACACUUCAUUUAGCCAAUUGAUAUUUCUUUUUCCCGCUAUCUCCUUGCCAAAAGAAUCUUGAUCAGAACUAAUCCAAUCUAUGUAAAACUCCUUUCGACAACUGGAAGAAGGAGAUCAUAUAUAGUACCAUAUUAUUUAGUACUGAAUUUAUUAGGACCAAUCUUCCUCCUAGAGACAGCAGCUUACCUUUCCAACUUCUAGGUCUUUUUUGCAGCCUCUUCUCAAUGUGUUUCCAUUUAGCAUUUGUGAGUCUCCGAUAAUGUAUCGGUAUCCCCAAAUAUGUGAUCGAAAACUGCCCCAACCCGCAUCCGAACAGUUCGGCGUACAGGUGAGCCUCGUCUUGGGCCUCGCCAAAGCAAAAAACAAGUACAUUGAUGUAAUAAUGCCUGAGGCAUGAUGCCAAAGCAAUAAAAGAUAUGUUUCAGCUGCUCACAACGGAUAAAUCAUACUCCCUCUGUCCAACGCUUUUAUAUUAUGGUGCAGAGAGAAUACUUGCCAACCGAGCACACGUUAAGGGCAUGCAUAAUGAUUGAUAAGAUGAUCUUAUUUUAAGUCUAGCAUUUAAUUUAGAAAUAACAAAAAACAUAUCUACAAUGGGUCUUCUCGAGAAGACAAACUUUUCUUACAAUUUCUCUCUCCUCCGCCUCAUCAUUUAUCCUAUAUGUCAUUCCUAAGAUAGAACCAUUGUAUAUACCCUAACACGUAUUACAACGACUUACAAGCAAGCAAGGUUAGAACCAGCUACCAAUUAACUUAAUAACUAUUCCUGCUACGAGAUGACACAUGCACGUACCACGAGAUCAAAUGACGAAGCAACUUCCACAUCGGCAGAGGUGAUCUGAGAAGAAAUAACACGUGCCACAUGCCAGGACGUCUGACUAACUCAGCGAGCUUGACAGGUGCAGAUAAAAUACAUUUUUUUACCCAUCGGCUUGACUUAUUCUAACGGGCACAUGUAUUGGAAAUCGACGGCUGGCCAACUAUAAUUUGGCGAGGUACUUUUUCUCUAUUAAAGUUUCCAUACUUAGAGAAGCCAUCGAUGAUCUUGUGCAGGCAGUAUAUAUAAAUACACAACGCAUGGUGGCAAUCUAUCUCAUUGUCACAGAUACAUCUUCCCCUUUGUUUUGUAAGGCUUAGCGAUGGAGAAGCUAGCAGCAGUGGUGCUCUUAGCUCUCGCGUCCGCCAUGGCGGUCACGGCCCAGAACUCGGAGCAGGACUUCGUGGACGCCCACAACGCGGCGCGCGCCGACGUGGGCCUUGGUGAGGUGACAUGGGACGCUACCGUGACAGCCUUCGCGCAGGACUACGCCGAUCAGCGCCGCGGCGACUGCCAGCUGAUCCAUACUCCUGAUGGCCGGCCGUACGGGGAGAACCUCUACGGAGGCGGCGGCGGUGGGACCGAGUGGACGGCGACGGACGCCGUGAAUUCGUGGGUGUCGGAGAAGCAGUACUACGACCACGACAGCAACACCUGCUCGGCGCCCGAGGGUGAGUCGUGCGGGCACUACACGCAGGUGGUGUGGCGCGACUCGACGGCCAUCGGCUGCGCCCGCGUCGUCUGCGACAGCGGCGACGGUGUGUUCAUCAUCUGCAGCUACAACCCGCCAGGCAACUUCCCCGGGGUGAGCCCGUACUAGGCUAUAUGCAUCAUGCAUGCAUGCGAGCGUGCAUGUACGUACGGCGUAUUGCAUAAAUAAAAUGAUUAAGCUCUGAUAACCACAGUGUGAUCAGAUGUGAUAUAUAAUUAACCAGCCGGCCGGAUUUGAGGCCAUAUAUUGUUUAGACCGGCUGUAUAUAUGUACCGUUAUGAUUCAGGUAAUAAGUUUGUGUUAUUGUAUAAGCAGUGUUUAUGAAUGAAUAUAUGGUUCUACUAUUAUACUGUGCAUGGUAUAUGUGCCUCCCUGUGAAAAAAACCCAGUACACUUAGAAACCACUAAUCAAAGUGUCUUUCUUCCGUUUUGUCAUCUCGCACUUGUUCUCUAUGUUGUGCAUUUUUUUUCCGGAUCCCAACUCGUACAGAAAACGGAGUAGAUCUCGAGAGGGCACGCUAGGUCUUGUUCCUGAGACUCGCGCUCCCUCCUCCACGCCAUAGGCCACUCCUGCCGUGACAGUCACCCAAUCUGCCAUUACGGCUCACCCAUCUACUCCCAGGUUUCACUCUGGAUCCAGCUCCGGUCGUGGUCCCGUGCAAGCUCGCUCUCGACUAGCGGUCCAUCAUAGGUUCUGUUGGAACUAAUCUUGUUAUUAGUGCCAAAAGUAGAUGAUUAGAUCAUGUUUAUUUUGGAUUGCAUGAUGUUGUUUUAGUAGCUGACUAAGUUCUAGCUAGUUGCAUGCACGUGAUCAUGGCAGAUGGGCAUACCGGCAAGAGAGACAGCACUAAGCGAUACAGAGAGUGCAGUCAGUGGCCAGAUUGCAAGCCAUUAGUGGAGUAGUGCAUGCACGAGUUGUUAGGAUUAGUCAAGUUGAAUAGUGGCAAGCUACAUGCAUGGAUCAAGUUUGGCCUGGUCGUGUGGCCGUUGAGGAGAAGCCGCACAAGAGCUGAACGUGGGUGCAUGCAGGUAGUGGAGAGUGAGAAACGGAUCAAGCCGUUGUGGCUUGGCCAUGCGAGCAUUGCAUAUUUCCCUUUAAAUAGGCUUGUAACCAUUUUGCUAUUAGAGAUGAGGAAUACAGAAAAGGCACAAGUGCGUGUGCCAGAAAAGCUCUGCGUGUUUGUGUUCUUCCUCUCCAUUGUGUAUUACGUGAGAAGUGUAGGUGUGUCCACUGCGUACUCGCAUGUGUGUAUCCAUCGAUCUCCUGGGCCAUGCCAACAUUUGGUAUUCAGAGCCAUGGUGAUUGAAGGUUCGCGCACUCCGUCUCCGGGUCGCCGCCGUGUCUCGGCCUCGCCGGUGGUGCGCCGAGGCCGGAGCCCGACGUGGCGUGGCUGCCGCGAGGUGGUGGUGCAGCAGGAGGUCGUCCACCAGGCCAGCAGCACCGUCAUCUACCCGGCGCUGACGGCGACGAACUACUUCGAGUGGUCGCUGAUCAUGAAGGUGAACAUGGAGGCCCAACGCGUGUGGGACGCCAUCAAGGGAGGCGGGAGCUUCAGCCAGGACAGGGCGGCGCUUGCGGCAAUUCUGCGAGCCGUGCCGGAGGAGAUGCACUCCACGCUUGCCAUGAAGGCGACGGCAAAGGAGGCAUGGGAUGCCAUCAAGAUCAUGCGGGUCGGCGAUGCCCGCGUCCCUGAGGCCAAGGCGCAGACUCUCCUCAAGGAGUUUGAUGCCGUCCGCAUGAGGAGUGGCGCGACCCUCGAUGAGCUCGCCAUGCGCAUGAACGGGGUCACCAACAAGCUGCGCACGCUCGGCUAGAACCUCGACGAGGUGAAGGUCGUGAAGAAGCUUCUCCGCAUCGUGCCGUCCAAGUAUACCCAAGUAGCCAUUGCCAUUGAACAGCUUCUUGAUAUUAAAACCAUGUCCAUGAAAGAGCUUGUGGGAAGGCUCAAAACGGCGGAGGACCGGAGCGACUUGGACGAGGGCGCCAGCAACUACGACCAGGGUGGUGGGAGUCGCCUGCUCCUCACGGAGGAGGAGUGGCUUGCUCGCCACCGCAGCGGCACCGGCAAGAAGAAGAGCACCUUCGACAUCCGUAAGGUGCGCUGCUACAACUGCCAAGACUAUGGCCAUUUCGCGAAGGAUUGCACCGCGCCAAGGAAAGAGCAGGCCCAUCUCGCCGCCGCGACUGCCGACGACGAGCCGGGGCUGCUUUGAAGAUCGACAUGGAGGUGUUCGAAUAAACGACAACAAGAUUAAGGGGGUGAUUGAUAGAGUAAACCUUGUUGUCUAGGUAUUCAUCAUGUUUAUUUCG
rnacentral:lncRNA from 1 species